rfam:Canis lupus familiaris chromosome 17, whole genome shotgun sequence.
ACCUGGCUGGCUCAGUUGGUAGAGCAUAAGACUCUUAAUCUCAGGGUCAUGAAUUCAAGUCCCAUGUUGGAUG